CCACCAGCACCGCCGGCCUCAGGACCAAGCCCACCACCAGCGGGCGCUGACGGAGGCGGGUGUGCGGCUCUGGCGCAGCCGAGCCGUCGACCGCCGGAGCCAAUCCGGCAGUCCGGCAUUUCAGCUGCCGCACACUCGCCCGUCACAGGAUCAGAGGCCUCCCGAGACAGUUCCCCGCGCGGCCAGCUGUCGCCAUGACGGUGACCAGAGCCCGGGGACAGACGCUCAGUCGGGUGUCCGUCUCUCUGGAGGAGC